CACUCGUUUAAGAUCUCUAGUUCCGUCAUGCAGGGCCAUCAGUGUUAUAUAUACACCAGGUUCAUACUGUUCAAUCCACUCGGCCUCAACUUGAUUACUGCUGGCAACUAAUGCUGAAUCCCUUAAUGUCACACCAUUCUCACCAUCAUGAAGAGAUCUAGAUUCCUUCCCAUCAACAGACUCUGACACAAUACUAAUUGACUGAACAUUUCCACCACCAUUGGGAAGUCUUGCAUCUGGAGGGUUAUCCUUUCCAUUGGUUGGAAUUGGAUCCCGGAAUGAAGGAGCUAGACCUUUGGCUCCAUUUGACAAAGUAGAGUCAAUUCCAGUGGGGAAGGCCAAGGAAGUUCCACUGAUGGAAUCAGAUCUCGAAUGCCUCUCUCCAUUUGCAUCAGCAUAAUGAAUACCAUUUGGCUCCAAACCAUUUGUUAGGUAAGCCGGCCUCAUGUUCUCAGCAUCAUAUACGCCAGGUGGCAGCCUCUCAGCCAUAUCCUUCAGCUGUGCAGUAAGCAACUUUAUAACAUCUUUUGCAGCUUUAGAUUUGGAAGAUUCUUCUGCAGCUAAUGCCAUUGCAUCUUGUACCUUCUUUGCUGAUUUCUGAAGCUCUAAUUCUUGGAACUCACAUCUUUGUCUUAGGCUCUCAACCUGUGCACGCAACUUAAGCACUUCUUGAUUCAAAAGCUCAUUUGUCUUCUUCAAACUAUCCGUUAUACUUUUUGAAAAUGACAGUCCUGAUGUUGUUGGAACAGGCGUAGCAGAACGCGGAGGGCUAGGUCUCCUUGAGAAAGGUGACACAGACCUGGAACUUACUCCAGAUGGCGUAAGAACAGGUUUUGGAACUUUUGCUCGCAGAUCAACAGCACUGGACAAUACAACAUCUUUUAGCUGUAACAAAGAGGGUGCUUGAGAGGAGCGAACAAGGGAGAACGUAUCAGCUUUCUUUCCUUGUUUGGCUGCUUUGCUAUCUAACUGCUUAAUUAAAUCCAUAUUUGAAGGCAAUGCAGACUUUGAAAGCCUUAUUUCAGCCUUGUCCAACCUAUCUUUGUUUUCACCUGAAAGACGAGGGACAGAAUUUCUCCUAUUAUGAUUACUAGCCUCUGAUACCUUGUUUAAUUUCACAAAACAAGAAUCACAGACACGAUAUGGUUUGCCAGGAUUAGGAGCUAAGGCUGCUCUUGUUGCCUUUCUGGAACUGCAUGAAUGGCAGUGCACAAGUCCACAAUUAUAGCAGUUAUGCCUCUUUCUCGUGAACCCAAAAGCUUGUCUACAUGAUGAGCACUGUGACUGCUCAGCACCAGAUACCCAUUUAUGAAGACAUAUAGCAGCAGUGUAAUUUGCCCCACAAGCAAUAUACUUCACAUGUCUGUCCUUCAAAGCUUCAACUAGAGUUGGUGUUUUACGAUCUUCAACAUCUCCAUGGCCUAACCUCCCGUUGGCACCCUUUCCCCAUGUGUAAACUUCAUUCCUCGAUGUUAAAACCGCAACAUGAUAUGCACCACAGGCAAUUUCUUCAACGGAUUCUCCAGAAAGCUUAUCCUCUACCAAGCAAGGCAGCUUCCCAUCAGCAUAAGGAUUCCCAAGUUGACCAUAAACGGUACUCCCCAUUGCAAAGACAUGUCCUAAUGUGGUCAAGCCAACAGUUAAACUAUGCCCACAGGCAAUUUUGUGAAAAUUGUAAUCAAUUAAUGCUGGCACACAUGUAGGUUUAAGCCGAGGUUCCUUGUCUCCAUGUCCAAGUCGAUUUUUGUCUCCAUCACCCCAAGUAAACAAUUUCCCAGAUGAAACACUAGCACUAGAUUGUGUAACAAUAACCUCCACUACAGCAGCAGUAUGCCACACCCCACAUGCAACAGCAAUAGUCCUCAACCCUGAAAGAGAUUCUACUUCUCUAGGAUAUGCAACAUUUUCUCUGUCGCCAUGGCCCAAGACACCAAAUGUUCCAUCACCAAAUGUAAAAAGCUGCCCUGUUGAUGUUACCAAGGCUGUAUGCCAUGGACCGCAAGUUACUGAAGCAACCUGAAGUCCCUCAAGUGGACCUGAGAUUCUCUUAGGUAUCCAGUGACUGACAUCAGUGCCAUGACCAAGAAGCCCAGCAUUAUGCAUACCAUCUCCCCAUGUAUAGAGUUCUCCAGCCAUUGUAACAGCACAACUAUGAAAUUCUCCACAUGCUACGAAAUCUACAGUAGAAACUGCCAAAGAUUCAAUCAGACGAGGUUGAAUAACAUCCUUGCCUACACCAUGGCCAAGCCGUCCACCAGAUUCUUCACCCCAUGUAAAAACUUCGCCUUGCCUUGUGACCAAUGCUGCAUGCCUUACCCCACAGGCUAUAUGAUGCACAUCUAAAACUACAUUAGACUCUAAUGGUCUAGGGAGAAGCACAUCUGCUCUAGUGCUCAAAUAAUUAGCAUUCUUAUCAGUCCCCACCUUUACAGUAUUAUCACAUAUGACCUCACCCCAUAUGUAUACAUCACCUAAAGCAUCACAAUCAUCUGGUGCAGAACCAUGACUGGAAGUGCUUGGGGCACUGGAAACACUAACCCGAAAAGCAUCUGAACCAGAUCCUUUAACUUGCAUAUUUGUGUUGUCUGAUGCUACAUGUGACCGAUCAGAAUUUGGAGAAUUCUCAGGCCGAAAACUCCUUGGAGAAGUACUUGGAUUAAAACUGACAGAAAUAUCUGGAGAACUAAUAUCUCGUGUAACACUAAUGGAACUGUCACUUGCACUAUUUGACGUCAAGUCUCUACUUUCAUCAAGGUAGAGGCCUCCAUCACUCCAUCCAUCAAUUUUGGAGCGUCCACCUUGACCAGAAGAUAUUAAUGCUUUUAAUCCUGCAAUCCACACCUCUGCCUCAACUUUGUCCUUGCAAAUCAGAUCAAGGGACCGCUUUCCGUUAUUGUAUAUAAGAGAGAAAGACAGAUAGUCCUUUUCAGGACGGAGAUAACGUUGGAAAACAGCAGUUCUUUGUCCAGGAAUAAUCUUAGAGACAGAAGCUAACUUCAAACUUCUUUCACCACUACUUGAAAUCCAGAUCAAAGUUGUUUCAUCAUUAGAAAGUCUAAAUGGACAAAACUUAGGCUUUCCUUUACGACCAUAUUUCAGAAGUUGAGCACCCUUCUUCAAAGCAAUUAAUGCCUGCUCGAUGUCACGUUCGGCAUUACCAUAGCUAACAAGAUCUGCCAUUCCAUGUGAGGAUAUUUACCAAAACGCCACCUCCCUCUCCGAUCGCUCACCGGAGCUCCGUUCAUCAUAUACCAUCUACUAACUCCUCACAUCAAAACCCCCUCCACCUCUCGCACAGAUCUACAAGUUUCUUCAGGAGCCAAAAAAUUCCCAAGUCAAAGCUAGUGAUCGCCACUAUUAACUAAGAGAGCAAAAGCAAAAUACGACGUCUCUAAGCUCACGAAUAGAGGUUUCCCGGCGAAUGGAAGCAGCUCAGCAAGGGCGGAAGCGAAGCCGUGCAAGAUAAACAAGUCCGAACCGGACGUCGCGGUGUCGGGGACGACAGAAGAACCGGACGGAGGAGAGGAAAAGCUAGGGAGCGAGAGAGAGAGAGAAACGGAGGAG
rnacentral:misc_RNA from 1 species